GACGAACGCUGGCGGCGUGCUUAACACAUGCAAGUCGAACGGAAAGGCCUCUUUCGGGGGGUACUCGAGUGGCGAACGGGUGAGUAACACGUGAGUAACCUGCCCUUGACUUUGGGAUAACUUCAGGAAACUGGGGCUAAUACCGGAUAGGAGCUCCUGCUGCAUGGUGGGGGUUGGAAAGUUUCGGCGGUUGGGGAUGGACUCGCGGCUUAUCAGCUUGUUGGUGGGGUAGUGGCUUACCAAGGCUUUGACGGGUAGCCGGCCUGAGAGGGUGACCGGCCACAUUGGGACUGAGAUACGGCCCAGACUCCUACGGGAGGCAGCAGUGGGGAAUAUUGCACAAUGGGUGGAAGCCUGAUGCAGCAACGCCGUGUGCGGGAUGACGGCCUUCGGUUGUAAACCGCUUUCGCUCAUGACGAAGCUUUGUGUGACGGUAGUGGGUAAAGAAGCACCGGCUAACUACGUG
rnacentral:rRNA from 1 species